rnacentral:lncRNA from 1 species
GCAAUUUCUUUCUUCUGAUUUUUUUUUUUUGAAAUUCUUGAAUUGAACAUGGUUGAGCAUGCCGACUUCAAUCCCCACCCCCUUCAGAUGAUCCACCAUCGAGUCCCCACUCUUCUUCUUCCUCAUCUCUGGUAGCCAACGUGCCGAUACAACCAAGCUCCGCCGACCCCAAAACCCCUCCUUUCUCUCUCUAAACCCUACUGCCCUAUUUUCUUUCCCCUAUUCCAUGCCUUGCCGCCACAAAGCUCACAGGAAACAGUCAUCUCUGGCCAAGUUCCACCACUGCCAUCAAUCUUGGUAACCCCCUCACCUCCUCCGUGUAGUUAUCCGACGAACAGACUCGAAUCUUGGCCCCAUUCCCUUAUUUUUGGGCCAAAUCGAGCCUUCACCAUUCUCGCUCGUGUUCAAUCCAUUCCCAUCAACUGCAACAGUCGUUGGCUGCCAUUGGCUGGCCACCAACGUCCCACUGUCAUGGCUUGGGCGCCAUCACCCACCCCUCUCCAUUUCUUCUCUUCCUUCUUUUCCUUCUCUUCCUCCUCUCCAUUUUAUCUUCUUCCAUCUAAUCUUCCUUUCUUCCCAUUUUUAUUUAUUUAUUAAUAUCUACAAAUCCUCUUUUUCUCUCUCUACUUGACUCAUCAACUAGAUGCAUUGAUUGAUCUAGAUCAUGGAUAGAACAAAUCCAAAGCCCUCAGUAAACCUGGGUCAAGUCUCACUUUUUUUUAUUUUAGUCGACUCAGACUGAAAAACCCAGGUCCUUGAUUGGAUCUAAACCAAGUAGAUCAGGCCCAAAAGCCCAACUAGCCUCAAAUCUCGUAUCUCUCUCCUUCCUAUAUUAUUUAGCCCAUGGACUACAGUGAUUUAGCCACAUGGCCAACGAACAAAAAUCCGACCCUAAUUGAACAUAGACUAAGUCUCUCUCUAUCCUCUCUACCUCGAUUAGUUGACCCAGAUCGAGCCUAAUUUCUUCUAGUUAGUCUAAUUUUCUUUUAAUUGAUAGAUUCGAUCUAACCUAGAAAUAUUAAUUUGAUCAGGUGGAAGCCCGGGUCUGGAUAGCAAGGAAGCAUGAUCGAGACCUGAUCCAUUGCAUUCAAGUAACCACGAAUCCCACCUCCUGGUGAAAUUUAUGUUUUGAUCCAAGGGAUGGUUAAGACUCUUAGAUGUUAGACUAGUUUCGGUAGGCUAGUUUAAUCAUACUCUUGAUCUAGUCUAUAUUUUUUGAAAAUUAAUCUAUUCCUAUUAAGUAUUGUAUGCAUCCUGCAUAAAAUUGAAUAGUAAAAUAUUGGAUCAAGUAUGCUAUGAUUUGCUUGGGUAUGAAUCGUACUUUAUUGCAUUGAUAAAUGUGUUGAUAUCAUAUGUGUUCUGAUCGUGCUAGUCUCUAGUCCAACUAUGAUCGCAUGGGCUUAGGAUCUAGUCUCCUUCCAGGCCUCUAGUGGGGCGAUCACUGGUGCAUGCUGGCUGACGACGUGAUGUAGUCAAGAGCUAAUUUCUUUUUCGGCCUAGCCAGUUGAGACUAAUUGCUGGCAUAUGCUGAUGUAAGUAUGUUCUUUCGUGUGAUUUUGGAGCUAGUUUUCUUCGAAGCCUCCAGUGGGGCAAUCACUGCACAUGACCAAUAGAUGGUAUGUUGUAGUUAGGAUCUAGUCUCUUUCAGAGUUUGCCACAAGCCAACCAUAGCCAUAGUCGCAAGGACUAGGAAAGCGAUGGGCCAUCUCUGGUUGUUUUGGAGAAUUUAUUUUUAUCCAAAUGCACUAUAUAUUUUGAAACCUAUGUUGAUAAACAUAAUAUGAUUUAUGUAUUAUUCGGUAUGUUGUUGUUUAUGGAAAAUCAAGCAAAAAUUAAAUUUCUUGUGCAAUAUACUUGAUCUUACUAAAGAUUUUGGUAACUUACUAGGUUGUGAAGCUUAUUACCUCUCUUCUAAUAUUUUUUUACAGACACAACCGAAUAGACGAGGCUUGGGACUAAGCAUUAAGGAGCUUAGGGUUUAGAAAAUAUUUGAUUUGUGUUUCUUAGAAUAAUUUGAUGUGUUAUUAUCAUUAGUGAUUGUGGACUAUUGAAUAAAUGUGUUGGAUUAUUAAUUCCCACCACUACCGGAG